CCUACGGGGUGCAGCAGUGAGGAAUAUUGGUCAAUGGCCGGAAGGCUGAACCAGCCAUGCCGCGUGAAGGUCAGUGCCCUAUGGGCGUUAAACUUCUUUUGUGCGGGAGCAAUAAUGGUCACGUGUGGCCAGACGAGAGUACCGUACGAAUAAGCAUCGGCUAACUCCGUGCCAGCAGCCGCGGUAAUACGGGGGAUGCAAGCGUUAUCCGGAUUUUUUGGGUUUAAGGGGUGCGUAGGCUGUGAGGUAAGUCAGCGGUGAAAUGCCCCCGCGCAACGGGGUGAAGUGCCAUUGAUACUGCCUUGCUGGAAUGCGGAUGCCGUGGGAGGAAUGUGUGGUGUAGCGGUGAAAUGCAUAGAGAUCACACAGAACACCGAUUGCGAAGGCAUCUCACGAAUCCGCGAUUGACGCUGAUGCACGAAAGCGUGGGUAUCAAACAGGAUUAGAUACCCCAGUAGUC
rnacentral:rRNA from 1 species